UACGGGGGGGGCAAGCGUUGUUCGGAAUUACUGGGCGUAAAGGGCUCGUAGGCGGCCCACUAAGUCCGACGUGAAAUCCCCAGGCUUAACCUGGGAACUGCGUCGGAUACUGGAUGGCUUGAAUCCGGGAGAGGGAUGCGGAAUUCCAGGUGUAGCGGUGAAAUGCGUAGAUAUCAGGAGGAACACCAAUUGCGAAGGCAGCGCGCUGGGACGUUACUGACGCUGAGACGCGAAAGCGUGGGGAGCAAACAGG
rnacentral:rRNA from 1 species